UCAAUCUCCCCUCUUCUGCAAUUCCACAUCUGCAAUUCAACCCCAGGGAAAGAUGCAGAUUUGAAGUCAAGCUGGGAAGCCACUGUUACUGGUCUUGGAAGAGGUCAGGUUAAGGUGUUGAUAUAGGGAGAUGUUACCUUAGUAGGGAUGCAUUUGAAUAGGUAGCUCACUGUUUCAGGCUUUCCACGCAUUACCUAUAUAAAUAGAGAUUUGAUGCUGGGAUAAAGGGGACUCUUGCUGUGUUUCUAGAAGCAGCUCUCCUGUGGUCACUGUGCGCGGUGAUGCCUUGGUACUUUCACAGCACACAAAUAACCAUCGCAGUUUGAAUAGUGAGAAGCAGCUUCACAACUUUGCUGUCUGCUUGAACUUACCCACAGCAGGGUCUCAAAUGAUGCUUAUUGAAAUGGAGCAAACCUCGAGACACCUUUGCCUAGAGAGAGACCGCCAACCAGAGGGGACAGGCUUGCUUUGUUGCUGUUUUGAAAGAUGAAUGAUCUGACUGCUCGCGGCUGCCUGCUCACAUGAGGAGUUUUUAGUCAUUUGGCAUGAAGCAGAUUAUCUAAAUCAUUAAGGUGUGUGGGCUUUGCAGUGCAUAAAUAAGUUAAGAAUUAGGGAUUCUGAGUGGUUGCUCGCCCCUUGUGUGCAGUGCUCCAAGUGAUUACUGUUCCCCUCUUUGUCUAAUCAGAGAUCCUCAGCUCAGAGCAGGUUUCUAAUUUAAACACUUGAGUACAACAUAUCUCACUAAAUUAAAUAACUUUUACCCAGGCAAAUCAUUGCAGACACGUGUCUUGUGCACAACGGGUUCUACCCCCACCUUAUACAUGACUUUUCCUUGUCUCUAAUAUAGCUUCUUCUGAAAGGCAAAUGAUUCCUAAUAGAAACAUGAAUAAGCCAGGCUUUGCAGUAUUGUAUCUUCAAACAACUCAUUUUGAGACAUUUACUAGAAAAUGCAGAAAGCACCCUGUGACUUUAGACAUGAUGCCUUAGUUUAUAAGGGUCUCCGGCUCCCCAAGCUAAAUUAGAGUUAAUAUAGAAUAUCUUGAUUUGGGGCCUCAAACACCAGUACUCCUGGUGUCUCUUGCAGCUUCUGUCUGUAUUGCAACGCUGGAGUUAACUGAGUAAAGCGUGUAUGCAAAUACCAUAGAGCUGCUCCCUAUGUAAGCACACCUUUAUGUAAAUAAUUGCUUAGCAAACUCAGUAGGUGGCCAUUGGUACCUCUAGAGAUGUCCCAGCACAUUCACCUCUCCUACUCUGCCUCUGGGUCUCAGCUUUAGGCAGUGCUGCCUGUAGGGUUGAACACAGACUUUAAACCUGCCUGGCGAAGGAGCUGUGCUACAGGCUGGCUGUCUUCCAAAUGGAAGUGACUUUGGUUCUGUAUAGAUAGUAACAGAAAGAUAUUUAAGAUAUGCAAAGCCCAUGAAAGCCUAUAAAUACAAGCUCCUGUGUCUGACCUAAUGAAAGGGGGAGAGCGCUGUGCUUGAUAAAUGCUGUCACCUGGGCAAAGGUACAUCCUGAGGGUCAAGGGGUGAAAAUGGGGCAUCCUUGUAAAUAGAGGGAAACAUUUAAUAUGGUCAUAUGUGCGCAGGGGGGAAGAUUGUCCUUGCUUGUGUAGUGGAUGAAGUGAAUGAACUUGGAGCCUGACACACACUUGGUGUGUGCUUGGUCUCUAACUCACAAAAAGGGUGGCUUUGUAGGUCUGCUUUUCCCUGUGUCCUGGGCAGAGACAUCUCAAUCAGCUGUGAAGUGGCUGCUGAGUGCAGAUGAGCACAUUAAAGUACAGCUGAUGCAAGCUGGCUCAGUUUGAGCUGGGAGCUGUGGGCACUAGAUAGAUGGGGUGUACUGCAGCAUCCAGGGGAGUAGGUCACGGGAGCAGGGCACAGGCACUGUGUUCUCAAAUCUGCUAUUUCCAUGGGUAAAUCUGAGAUAGGUGUUUGUGUGUGCAAGUGUUUAGAGUUACAAACAGGCUUUUGGCUCAGGCUUGGAGCUAUGCAGACAUUCCCUCAUGCUGCCUUGAUCCUGUUCAUGUCUUGAUGCUUACUGCAGCCAGAAGAUAGAUUUUAUAGGUGGAGGUUAUUGGUUAACUGGCUUAUCCCACAAGGACAGUGAAAAAGAGCUUCAUGUGCAGCAAAAUAUUCAAACAUAUGGUUUUAAAAGUUCUGUGAAGUCAUGGCUUAAAGGGGAUUCUUGGAGUGGGGUUCUGGCAGAUGGGAUCCUGUGCGGAAAGGGUCAGCCCUGUGCUUUGCUCAUAGAGGGUCUCUCCAUUGCCCUUUCUGAAUCAUUUCUGGAUUAUAUAGAGCUCAGCUACUUGUCCUCUCGGGAAGAGAUGCAUCUUCUGCUCUGCUGCUUUUUUGGCCAGGUUUUCUGAUGAAGAGCAGAGCUGUCUUGCCAGUUCUGGCAGGCACAGGGAUAGUGUUUGGACAAAGCCCUCUCUGUGCCUGCCCAGCUUUGCUGUGGGUAAAACCCUGUGGGCAGCCAGGGGCUCAGCACAGAGAGCUUCGGGAGCGAUGGAAGAAUUUGAGGGCAUCUGUGUUAAGAAACACACAUAUUUCAUGCCUAGUUCAUCACAGACCAGGGCUGGCCUGUUUUUAUCAAUGAUUU